rnacentral:tRNA from 1 species
GCGGGUGUGGUCUAACGGCAUGACGUAACCUUCCCAAGGUUGAGAAGGGGGUUCAAUUCCCCUCACCCGCU